GGUCUAGCUUGGCUUAUUGACAGACCAAUUUAUUGACAGACCUCAUAUUAAAAUGCUAUUUAACAUACCAACACUACUGUUAUGCUUAUCAAUAUUCUCUUUGCUAAUUUUUGAUGGCUGGACUGCCGAGGCAAUUGAGUUUGUUCUACCGGACCCGAUUUCCGGACUAGGAUCAGCAUGCUCCAACUUUAGUGACUAUUUCUGUAUGAGUCGAUACUGGACGUCCGUAAAAAACGAGUCUCGUAGUCACCAUUGGAAUGACACUUUCCAGAUUGAAAUGCUUACUUUGUCAAAUUACAGAAGCAUUAAUUGGUAUUCUUUCUUCGUUUACGAUAUUCCAGGUCUAGGUUGCUGCUACUACCAAAUCAGAACAUAUUCACACUUUGGUCAAAAAUUUGGAAUGUCUCCUAAAAACUACAUUAGAAAAAUUGGAGACUUCAGAAGCAGAGGAAAAAGUCUGAGAGUAAUCAAGGCUCGAUAUGAAGUCACGUUAUGUCUGAAUGUAAUCGUCGAAAUUGGCUUCGGCACACACCGACCCGAAGUCAAAAUAACAGGAGGAAAACCAGGGAAAAGUUUUGUUCUACCUGUACUUCCUAUGGAAAAAAACGUGAAAUUAUUUGGGAA